rnacentral:ncRNA from 1 species
UUAGUUUGAUUCUAAUUAAAAGAUUAGCACUACUUAAAAAUUUUAUGCUUAUUAUUAGUAAAACAAUAAAAAUAAUAUAUUAAAUAUUAAAAUAUAUAAAUAUUUUAAUAGCAGAAAUUAAGAUUGUAAUAAUGCGUUAAAGCGUGAAAUGGUUUAAAUAUUAUUAUUGGUCAAAUUCGUGCCAGCAACAGCGGUUACACGAUGGAUAUCUAACAAAUAAAAUCUGUAUAGGUAAAAUAUAUAUAAAUUAAAGGUAAAAUCUCCUUGAUCUAUAAAGUAUUAAUAUUACCAAAAAUAAACUAUAAACUAAAACAAGGAUUAGAUACCCUUUUAUUAUUAGCUUAAAAUAAGAUUGGAGAUUACGAGCAAUAGCUUAAAAACCCAAGAAAUUUGGCGGUGUCUUAUUCAAUCAGGGGGACCUGUAUUUUAAAUCGAUAACCCACGCUAAACUCUACCUAAUUUUAAUAUUAUAGUUUGUGUACUGCCGUUUAAUAAGCCCUUGAGGUUUCUUAUAAUUAAUGUAUAAAUUAUAAGUCAGGUCAAAGUGCAGCAUAUAAUUAGGAAUAGUAUGGGUCACAUUUUUGAAGAUAUUUUAAAUUUAUAAAUUAAUUUUAUAAUAGUUUAGGACUUGAUAGUAAUCAUAUAAUUAUUUAUAUUAUGGUGAAUAUGAACUUAAGACAAGUACACAUCGCCCGUCACUCCUUUAUAUAGGAUAAGUCGUAACAUAGUAGAUGUAAUGGAAAUUGCAUCUGU